AUGAAAAAAAGUUCUUCGAUUUGCAGCGAACUUUCAGUAGAUAUCGUCUCUAUUUCUUUUACAUGUGGAUAUUGUUGUUUCAAAGCAAAUUUCACCGUUAAGUUUUACCAGGUUUUGUUACCUAUAAUCUGUUUUUUAUCAGGUUCUUUUUUUUGGUUUUAUCAGGUUUUGUUACCUAUAAUCUGUUUUUAUCAGUUUUUCUUGCUUAUUCUCUCUAAUCAGAAAAGGAGCCUGAAAAUCUGCAUUUACAUUUGCAGAUACGGCAGGAAAGUACAGCUUAUCCAGAGACACCAAUUGGGAGAGGUACAACAUAUGCAUUUCAAAGAGAACUGGACUCUGCUAAUUUUGAUUUCACCAAGGUUUGCGUUGAUCCCACUCUCUUGCAUUUUUGCUUUCACAAUUACUAGGACUCCAGUAAUAACCACAUUAUGA
rnacentral:rRNA from 1 species